GUGUCAGCAGCCGCGGUAAUACGUAGGGUGCAAGCGUUAAUCGGAAUUAUUGGGCGUAAAGGGUGCGUAGGCGGUUUGUUAAGACGGAUGUGAAAUCCCUGGGCUCAACCUGGGAACUGCAUACGUGACUGGCAGACUAGAGUAUGGCAGAGGGAGGUGGAAUUCCACGUGUAGCAGUGAAAUGCGUAGAUAUGUGGAGGAACACCGAUGGCGAAGGCAGCCUCCUGGGCCAAUACUGACGCUGAGGCACGAAAGCGUGGGGAGCAAACAGGAUUAGAUACCCGCGUAGUCC
rnacentral:rRNA from 1 species